rnacentral:rRNA from 2 species
AAAUUGAAGAGUUUGAUCAUGGCUCAGAUUGAACGCUGGCGGCAGGCCUAACACAUGCAAGUCGAACGGUAGCACAGAGAGCUUGCUCUCGGGUGACGAGUGGCGGACGGGUGAGUAAUGUCUGGGAAACUGCCUGAUGGAGGGGGAUAACUACUGGAAACGGUGGCUAAUACCGCAUAACGUCGCAAGACCAAAGAGGGGGACCUUCGGGCCUCUUGCCAUCAGAUGUGCCCAGAUGGGAUUAGCUGGUUGGUGAGGUAACGGCUCACCAAGGCGACGAUCCCUAGCUGGUCUGAGAGGAUGACCAGCCACACUGGAACUGAGACACGGUCCAGACU